AUUGAACGCUGGCGGCAGGCCUAACACAUGCAAGUCGAACGAGAGGCGGACGGGUGAGUAAUGUCUGGGAAACUGCCUGAUGGAGGGGGAUAACUACGGGAAACGGUAGCUAAUACCGCAUACCAUCGGAUGUGCCCAGAUGGGAUUAGCUAGUAGGGGGGGUAACGUCUCACCUAGACGACGAUCCCUAGCUGGUCUGAGAGGAUGACCAGCCACACUGGAACUGAGACACGGGCCAGACUCCUACGGGAGGCAGCAGUGGGGAAUAUUGCACAAUGGGCGAAAGCCUGAUGCAGCCAUGCCGCGUGUAUGAAGAAGGCCUUCGGGUUGUAAAGUACUUUCAGCGGGGAGGCGUUACCCGCAGAAGAAGCACCGGCUAACUCCGUGCCAGCAGCCGCGGUAAUUC
rnacentral:rRNA from 1 species